AUUGAACGCUGGCGGCAGGCCUAACACAUGCAGGUCGAGCGGAUGAAGGGAGCUUGCUCCUGGAUUCAGCGGCGGACGGGUGAGUAAUGCCUAGGAAUCUGCCUGGUAGUGGGGGGUAACGUCCGGAAACGGGCGCUAAUACCGCAUACGUCCUGAGGGAGAAAGUGGGGGAUCUUCGGACCUCACGCUAUCAGAUGAGCCUAGGUCGGAUUAGCUAGUUGGUGGGGUAAAGGCCUACCAAGGCGACGAUCCGUAACUGGUCUGAGAGGAUGAUCAGUCACACUGGAACUGAGACACGGUCCAGACUCCUACGGGAGGCAGCAGUGGGGAAUAUUGGACAAUGGGCGAAAGCCUGAUCCAGCCAUGCCGCGUGUGUGAAGAAGGUCUUCGGAUUGUAAAGCACUUUAAGUUGGGAGGAAGGGCAGUAAGUUAAUACCUUGCUGUUUUGACGUUACCAACAGAAUAAGCACCGGCUAACUUCGUG
rnacentral:rRNA from 1 species